rnacentral:misc_RNA from 1 species
AACGCACAUUGCGCCCCUUGGUAUUCCAUGGGGCAUGCCUGUUCGAGCGUCAUUUGUACCCUCAAGCUUUGCUUGGUGAUGGGUGUUUGUUCUGCUGCAACGCGUGAACUCGCCUCAAAUCAAUUGGCAGCCGGCAAUCUGGUGUUUGAGCGCAGCACAUUUUGCGCUCUUCGCUGUGUAUUGCGGGCGUCCAUGAAGCCUAUAUUUUCGCGCUUGACCUCGGAUCAGGUAGGGAUACCCGCUGAACUUAA